rnacentral:rRNA from 1 species
AGCGGAGGAAAAGAAACCAACAGGGAUUGCCUUAGUAGCGGCGAGUGAAGCGGCAAAAGCUCAAAUUUGAAAUCUGGCUCUUUCAGAGUCCGAGUUGUAAUUUGAAGAAGGUAUCUUUGGGUCUGGCUCUUGUCUAUGUUUCUUGGAACAGAACGUCACAGAGGGUGAGAAUCCCGUGCGAUGAGAUGAUCCAGGCCUAUGUAAAGUUCCUUCGAAGAGUCGAGUUGUUUGGGAAUGCAGCUCUAAGUGGGUGGUAAAUUCCAUCUAAAGCUAAAUAUUGGCGAGAGACCGAUAGCGAACAAGUACAGUGAUGGAAAGAUGAAAAGAACUUUGAAAAGAGAGUGAAAAAGUACGUGAAAUUGUUGAAAGGGAAGGGCUUGAGAUCAGACUUGGUAUUUUGUAUGUUACUUCUUCGGGGGUGGCCUCUACAGUUUAUCGGGCCAGCAUCAGUUUGGGCGGUAGGAGAAUUGCGUUGGAAUGUGGCACGGCUUCGGUUGUGUGUUAUAGCCUUCGUCGAUACUGCCAGCCUAGACUGAGGACUGCGGUUUAUACCUAGGAUGUUGGCAUAAUGAUCUUAAGUCGCCCGUCUUGAAACACGGACCA